GUAAGCCGUAUGCCUUAAUAGGGCACGUACGGUUUGAUAAGGGGGGAGCCACGAGAGUGGCUUCCCUACUUUAU
rnacentral:ncRNA from 1 species